rnacentral:rRNA from 1 species
GGAUCCAGACUUUGAUCCUGGCUCAGGAUGAACGCUAGCUACAGGCUUAACACAUGCAAGUCGAGGGGCAGCGGUAUCGGAAGCUUGCUUUCGGUAGCCGGCGACCGGCGCACGGGUGAGUAACGCGUAUCGAACCUGCCUCAUACUCGGGAAUAGCCUUGCGAAAGUAAGAUUAAUGCCCGGUGUUUUCAGAGUCCCGCAUGAGGCUUUGAACAAAGAUUUAUCGGUAUGAGAUGGCGAUGCGUCCCAUUAGCUUGUUGGCGGGGUAACGGCCCACCAAGGCAUCGAUGGGUAGGGGUUCUGAGAGGAAGGUCCCCCACAUUGGAACUGAGACACGGUCCAAACUCCUACGGGAGGCAGCAGUGAGGAAUAUUGGUCAAUGGGCGGAAGCCUGAACCAGCCAAGUAGCGUGCAGGAAGACGGCCCUCCGGGUUGUAAACUGCUUUUAGUUGGGAAUAAAACGGGGCUCGUGAGCCCCCUUGCAUGUACCAUCAGAAAAAGGACCGGCUAAUUCCGUGCCAGCAGCCGCGGUAAUACGGAAGGUCCGGGCGUUAUCCGGAUUUAUUGGGUUUAAAGGGAGCGCAGGCGGACCUUUAAGUCAGCUGUGAAAUACGGCGGCUCAACCGUCGAACUGCAGUUGAUACUGGAGGUCUUGAGUGCACACAGGGAUGCUGGAAUUCAUGGUGUAGCGGUGAAAUGCUCAGAUAUCAUGAAGAACUCCGAUCGCGAAGGCAGGCAUCCGGGGUGCAACUGACGCUGAGGCUCGAAAGUGCGGGUAUCAAACAGGAUUAGAUACCCUGGUAGUCCGCACAGUAAACGAUGAAUACUCGCGGUUUGCGAUACAGUGUAAGCCGCCAAGCGAAAGCGUUAAGUAUUCCACCUGGGGAGUACGCCGGCAACGGUGCAACUCAAAGGAAUUGACGG